GUCACGGACUUGGAGUUUUCCCACACAUCCGUGCGGCCUUAGGCAGUUUCUUGGCUUAAAAACGCCUAAGUCAGCCUAACUUCCACCGAUAAAGGAUUCAACAGCAAAAACGCCUAAGUCAGCUCAACUCGCAACAAUAAAGGAUUCAACAGAAUUCCCUUAAAGUUUCCACGAAGAACAGCGGAAGAACGAAAUAAGAACGAUCUUUGGAAGAUGAACAAAAGCAAGAACACUUGAGAGAAAAGUUUGAGUAAAUGCUCUCAAUUCUUAUUCACAAAGAAUAAUGAAACAAUUCAGGAGUGAGUACAAAUGAGGGGGAGGCUCUCUAUUUAUAGUUGAGCUCCCCCAAAACCGAUGGCUACAAUUAAAAGCUGUAUUCGAUUAGGACUCUAAGUUUACAGAAUUAGAAGCUGUGAACAAUUAGAACUUCUAAGACUACAUAGUCCUAUCUUCAUUAUCGGGCCCAUCAGGCUUCAAUCUGACAGGCCUGUCCAACAGCUCUUUGAAUCGGGCCAGUUCUCGUAGGCCAAAUGAUCCCCAUCUGAGCAACAGACCUCCAUUGGAUGCAUUUGGUGCGCUGGUCACGGGCUUUAAACUGCGGCCCGUGACAUUUUCCCCCACCCAUUCUCGCAACGCCCUCGUUGCGACUUCUGAAUGGCACUGACUUGAUUCGCCUCGGUCUCGUCUCGUCGCCUUAGCCUUUCCCUUUCUUCGGGAUUUUUGCCUCGGCUUCUGUUGCUUCUUAACUCGAGCCAUCCUACUCGUCGCAUUUACUCUGGUCAACUGUCCCACAUGCAUCGCUUCUUUUCCUUUGAAGUCUGAUGCACCACCCACCUCUCCCAUAGGUGGAAGCCUUGUCGAUGACUCGGCCAACUCCGACGCUUCACUCAACUUGAGCCUCAUUGGUUUCAGCUUCACUGUUUUCAUCGCAACUCUUUCCUCUAAGUUCGAUGACAAACUCACCUCUUCCUUGGGUGGAAGCCCCUUCGAUGACUCACCAAGCUCAGACGUUGCCUUUCUUUUGACUCCGGCUUGCUUUGGACAGUUCCGCAACUCAUGCGGACCACGGCACAAGAAGCACUUAACUCGCUUAUUUUUGCUCCUCUUUGCCCUCUUGGCUUCGGCUUUACCCUUGCUCGAACCAAGCUUCUUGGGUUCCUUGUCUGCUCCAUCGUUCCCCUCGAUGACAGACUUCUUCGGACACUUCCGCCUUUGUUCGAACUCUUCUUUCGACAUCCCAACGGUGCCUUUGAACCAACAACUCGAAUAUUACUUGGUUCAAACCUUGGCUCGGAUACCACUUGUCACGGACUUGGAGUUUUCCCACACAUUCGUGCGGCCUUAGGCAGUUUCUUGGCUUAAAAACGCCUAAGUCAACCUAACUUCCACCGAUAAAGGAUUCAAUAGCAAAAACGCCUAAGUCAGCUCAACUCGCAACAAUAAAGGAUUCAACAGAAUUCCCUUAAAGUUUCCACGAAGAACAGCGGAAGAACGAAAUAAGAACGAUCUUUGGAAGAUGAACAAAAGCAAGAACGCUUGAGAGAAAAGUUUGAGUAAAUGCUCUCAAUUCUUAUUCACAAAGAAUAAUGAAACAAUUCAGGAGUGAGUACAAAUGAGGGGGAGGCUCUCUAUUUAUAGUUGAGCUCCCCCAAAACCGAUGGCUACAAUUAAAAGCUGUAUUCGAUUAGGACUCUAAGUUUACAGAAUUAGAAGCUGUGAACAAUUAGAACUUCUAAGACUACAUAGUCCUAUCUUCAUUAUCGGGCCCAUCAGGCUUCAAUCUGACAGGCCUGGCCAACAGCUCUUUGAAUCGGGGCAGUUCUCGUAGGCCAAAUGAUCCCCAUCUGAGCAACAGACCUCCAUUGGAUGCAUUUGGUGCUCUGGUCACGGG
rnacentral:lncRNA from 1 species